AUGGCUGAACCAACUGGUCUUGCCGAGGCUUUGGAGAAGCUCGCUAAGAUCCUCGCGGAGUCCAACUCUGGGGCCAUCGUUCCUCGACAGGAAGUGGCUCAAAAGCUUGAAAUGUCGCCCCUGGACAUGAAGCUAGAGGGGGCAACAAAUUAUUUGAGCUGGUCCAGAAGGGCUUUGUGGGCUGUGGAGCAGAAGGAGCUUGAUGGAUAUUUGUUGGGCACCGUUGUAGAACCAAGGGACACGAGUAGUGCAGAGGGCAAGAGGUGGAAGGUCAUCCACUCUGUACUUAUGGUGUGGUUGUUGAACUCCGUGGUGCCCUCCAUUGGACGCUCUGUGGAGGGGCUAUCCUCACCUGCUGAGAUAUGGAAGAUUCUGUCCACUCAAUACUCUGGCAAGGGCAAUGUCAUGCUCAUUGCUCAGAUUGAGGACAAGAUUAGGUUGCUGCGUCAAGAUGAUGGCAUGUCAGUGAUGACAUACGUGGCAGAACUGCAGGCUCUGUGGGCUGACCAGGAUAACUGUGAUCCCUUGGAACUCUAUGAUGCGGCUUCAAUAGAGUCAGGCCAUAAGUGGAUGGCACGCAGGCGUGUGCUGAAAUUUUUGGCUGGCCUCAAAGGUUGCUUUGAUGGCAGGAAGGCUUCCCUGUUGCACCAACCUAGUCUGCCUACCAUUCCUGAGGCUAUUGCAGCGAUGACUCAAGAGGAGGUGCGCCUAUCCCUUGAGCAUGCAGCCAUGAAGGUUGUGCCAGCUUCGACAUUUGCAGUCACUGAGCGCAUGGAGUGGGGAGAUCCCACCAAAUGUCAUAUCUGUGGGGAGGUAGGUCACUGGAAGAGAGAAUGUCCAACUCGUGGCAGAGGCAGGGGAUAUAACAGAGGGGGAGCAGGCAGAGGUAGAAGUGCUCGAGGCAGAGGUGGAUACUCAGAGACCUCAUGGAGCCAGGCUUCUAGAGGUAGAGGUGGCUACUCAGGACACUCAGGGGGUCAGCGGGCUCACAUGGCCGUUGCAGGAGACACUGGGACGUCCAAAGGCAAAGAUGUAGAUGAUGUUGCCUAUGGAGACUUUGCUCACUGGGCCUCCACUGAUGAAGGUAAUCCGGAAAGAGCAUCUCUUGCUACUAAUGAGAGUGCUCCAGAGUGGGUUCUUGACUCUGGAGCAUCUAAGCAUGUUGCUAGUAACUCAUGUGUGUUCGAAUCUUACACUAAGCAUCCUCCCUCUCACACGGGCACUAUACAAACGGCUGAUGGCACAAAACAACCAGUCAUCGGGGUUGGUACAGUAAAGUGUACUCCGACCAUUUCCCUAUCGUCAGUUUUACAUGUGCCAGCCUUUCCUGUCAAUUUGGUCUCUUUCAGUGCACUCAUUGAUCAAAUGGACUGUCGUGUGAUCCUUGACAAGUUCGGUUGCUUGAUUCAGGAGCGACAGACGAGCCAGACGGUUGGGACUGGCACCAGGCGUAGGGGGCUCUGGUACAUGGACCAGGAGGUGCAGCCGGACUUGGUGUGUGCUGCGACCAUGGAGGAUAAGGAGAAGCAGGCGAUGAUCCAUCAUUGUAGGAUGGGGCAUGUAUCUUUUGAUAAGAUGAGUAGAAUAUUUCCGGAUGUUAUGUGUGGCAUAGGCAAAGGCAAGCUGACAUGCGAUGCUUGUGAAUAUGCAAAACACACACGGGCCUCAUAUGUGAGUAAGGGGCUCAGGAGCAUAUCUCCUUUUAUGCUUAUUCAUUCGGAUGUAUGGACUAGCCCAGUGGUGUCAAUGAAUGGGAAGAAGUAUUUUGCUACCUUUAUUGACUGCUAUUCUCGCAUGACUUGGAUUUACUUGAUGCGUCACAAGGAUGAGGUGUUUAGCUGUUUUCAGAACUUCCAUGCUCUUGUGAAGAACCAGUUUCAGGUACAGGUCAAGGUGCUCAGGACGGACAAUGGAACGGAGUAUGUGAACAACAUUUUUGGGGCUUUCAUGGCUGACCAUGGGAUUCUUCAUCAAACUUCAUGUCCGGACACCCCCCCUCAGAAUGGAGUGGCCGAACGGAAGAAUCGUCAUGUUCUUGAGGUUGCUCGGUCGUUGAUGUUUACCAUGAAUGUGCCUAAGUUCUUGUGGGAUGAUGCAGUUAUGACAGCCACAUACUUGAUCAACCGAACACCUUCCAGGAUACUUGGCAUGAAAUCUCCGUCUGAGUUGAUCAUUGGAGAUAAUAAGUUUGUUGUUCCCCCAAAGUUGUUUGGCAGUACCUGCUUUGUUCGUGAUCACCGACCAUCUGUUGGCAAGCUUGAUUCUCGGGCAGUGAAGUGUGUCUUUCUGGGAUACUCGUCUAGUCAGCAGGGGUAUAAAUGUUGGUGUCCCUCUGAAAAACGCAGGUUUGUAAGUAUGGACGUUACAUUCAGGGAGUCUGAGCCAUUCUAUGGUGAGCCGACUGAUCUCAGUCUGUUGUUUGCAGAGCUUGACCACCUACACCCUGUGCAUGAUGGUCAAGAGGGGGAGAAGGAUGUGUCUCAUACUCACGGUGAUCCUGUGGACAUUAACACUGAUAAUGAUGUGCAGGCUCAGGUUCAACCAAUAGUGGGUACAAUUCCGGUUAGUACCAUCACUGAUCAUGAUGUGCGGGCUCAUGCCGAGCCAACUGUCGAUACACUUAAUAUUGGUGCUCUCCAGGUUCCUGUUCGGGAUCGAUGGCAGACGAAUACCCUGGUGUACUCUCGGCGGCAACCACAAGUGCAGGGGGAGCAGCAAGGCAGGGAGGCAAGAGUGCAGGGGGAGCAGCAAGGCAGGGAGGCAAGAGUGCAGGGGGAGCAGCAAGGCAGUGAGGCAAGAGUGCAGGGGGAGCAGCAAGGCAGUGAGGCAAGCUCAUCUGACACAGUGGAGCUGCCCAUUGCAUUGCGAAAACCUACACGUGAAGCAGCAAGGAAGGCUCUGCCAAAGGAUGAUGCUUGUGAUGACCUUGAUAUUGGCAAUUUUGUGUCUUACAAGGCUUUGUCACCUUCAUAUAAGGCGUUUGUUGCCUCUCUGCAAACUGUGUCUAUCCCUAGGGAUUGGAAGGCUGCAAAGCAAGAUCCGAAGUGGCGUGAAUCGAUGAUAGAGGAGUUAGAAGCAUUGAAAAAAAACAAGACAUGGGUGCUAACCACAUUGCCGGCAGGAAAGAAAGCAGUGAGUUGUAAGUGGAUUUUUACUGUGAAGCAGAAUCCUGAGGGCAAGGUGGAACGGUAUAAGGCUAGAUUGGUUGCCAGAGGAUAUAGUCAAACUUAUGGAAUUGACUAUGAUGAGACAUUUGCUCCAGUUGCAAAGAUGAACACGGUACGGGUAUUAGUCUCGUGUGCUGCAAACUUUGGGUGGAAAUUGCACCAGUUAGAUGUCAAGAAUGCCUUCUUACAUGGUGACUUGAAAGAAGAGGUAUACAUGGAGAUACCGCCAGGUUUUGGCACAGAACAGACUACGGGGAAGGUAUGCAGGCUGAAGAAAUCCUUGUAUGGUCUGAAGCAAUCGCCGAGGGCAUGGUUUGAUAGGUUCAGACGAGCUGUUUGGAAUAUGGGGUAUGGCCAAUGUAAUGGUGACCACACGGUGUUUUAUAGACACACUAAUAAGAAGAUCACCAUUGUUGCAGUGUAUGUUGAUGAUAUCAUCAUCACUGGAGAUGAUGAGGAGGAAAUAAAGAGAGUGAAGGGGUGUCUGAGCAAGGAGUUUGAGGUAAAAGACUUAGGAAAUCUAAAGUACUUCCUUGGCAUAGAAGUGGCCCGGACAGAGAAGGGAAUAUCUUUGUGCCAACGAAAAUACACCUUGGAUCUUUUGAGUGACAUGGGCAUGAUGGGAUGUCGUGCAGCCCCUACUCCAAUUGAACAAAAUCAUCAAGUAACAGCACAAUCAGGUGAGCUAGUGAAUAAGGAAGAUUAUCAGAAGCUGGUUGGGAGGUUAUUGUACUUGUGUCAUACUAGGCCUGACAUUACGUAUGCCGUGGGGGUGGUGAGCAGAUACAUGCAUGAACCAAGGAGAGGGCAUCUUGAUAUUGUUCACAGAAUCCUGAGAUACUUGAAGGGGACUCCGGGUAAAGGGUUGUGGUUUGCGAAGAGUGGACAUCUAGAGGUGGAUGGCUAUAGUGACUCUGAUUGGGCUAGCUGUCAAGAUGAUAGACGAUCAACUUCAGGUUACUGUGUGUUUGUGGGAGGAAAUUUGGUGUCAUGGAGAAGCAAGAAACAGAAUGUUGUGUCUAGAUCAACAGCAGAAGCUGAAUAUAGAGCAUUAUCUCAAGGAUUGUGUGAUAUGCUCUGGGUGAAGCACCUACUAUGCGAGUUGAAACUCUUGAGGAAGGGACCCUUAAGGGUGUGGUGUGACAAUCAGUCAGCUAUAGCCAUUGCUAAUAACCCAGUUCAACAUGAUAGGACGAAGCAUGUGGAAAUUGAUCGCUUCUUCAUUAAAGAGAAACUUGAUGCUGGGAUCAUCAGCCUUACUCAUGUCAGCUCUGGGCAGCAGUUUGCAGAUUGCUUGACAAAGGGACUGGGAACAAAGGACUGUAACUUGGCGUGUGACAAGAUGGGGAUGAUAGAUAUCUACCACCCAUCUUGA
rnacentral:rRNA from 1 species